AUAAAAACAAACAAAAACAAGGAAGGACAAGCCCAAACAGGUUGAGAAUCACCGGGGUACUGAUGAAAUUAGGCUUCCUUAUUGGCACUCUGAAUGCCUCCUGCUUCAGGAUACAUUUGUUUUCCCUCUUUCUCUUUCGUUUCUGCUGCCUGUGGAAAUGAAGAAUAUGUUAUCUCCUUGGAUACCUGAAGACGAUUGCGCCACUUCUCUGCCUUUUCUUCCUUACGUACAAUAAUCCACUUCAUCUUUCCUCCGAGGGCUAGUUUUCACCUCGCUGAUCAACAUCGGGAAAGCUCCGCUGAGCCAUGCAAAUCUCCUGGCAGAUAAUGGUCUUUAGCUAUUUGGCCGUUCUGUGUGCACUGGCCCUAUACCAUUUUUCCUUCUUGUCACUGCUCUUUUUCUUUCCUGUGAUCCUUUUCCUCAGUGUCUGCUUAAUUUCUUCCCAAGUAGUCUGAGAUAUUUGAAAGGCAUCAUAAAAGUCCUCAGCAGACAUCUUGCUCGUAUCUGGGAUUGUGCUUCAUCCUGGGAAAGCCUUACAGGGAGAUGGUGCUGCCUAAAGAGUGAUGAGUGAGUGGAGGAAGAAAGAGAAAGAAAAUACCAUGGAGAAAGAGAAGGACUCAGGAAAAAUAAAGAUUAAAAACAGAAAGAAAAAGCCAGAUACUCAGAAGAGAUUAGAGUUUUCAUCUGUAUUCAUCACAGACCGACACAAGCUGGAGGAGCCACACCUUGAGACAGGAUCAUAUCUGGGAUACCAGCUUGCAUUUAGUUAUCAAGUCACCACUGACCAGCAACAGUUUUCUACCUUUGCUUUUGUGAUUCUGACUGUCAUGUGUUUUAGACUGAGAUUGUGAGAUUUUGAAGGAACAUUAUUAGCAUUUCCUCAUUUUCUGACACUAGACCAUGCUCAAGCUCAACUUGAAUUGUCCUCAACUCAGUUCUAUAAUCAGCAAUUGCACCAAGGAGCUAUGGUUUCUUUUGCAGGAGACGUAUUUUGAAGCCAAGAUAUGGGUGGUAUGUAUAUUAAUGUAUUUUUUAAAACAGAAAUAAAAUUAUGCAGAAAAUAUCUUAGACAUCUUUUAUUAUCAAACACCAAGAUUAGCUAAGUUUAAAUUAAGUUUUAAUUCCUCGGUUGCAUUGACCAGUAUCUUCACAGUUAUACUUGGGUUGAUAAUCCAACUUUAUGUUUUCUGUGAUGAAUUGUUUCAUUUCACAGAAACCAGAGGUUAACAGCAGGAGAAGAAAAGUAGGAUAACUCUGAAACUUUGAGACCCUGGAGGGAGAAAACAUGCACCCCAUGGGGAACGUAGGGUUGCCAC